rnacentral:rRNA from 1 species
GAUGAACGCUAGCUACAGGCUUAACACAUGCAAGUCGCGGGGCAGCACAGUGUAGCAAUACAUGGGUGGCGACCGGCGCACGGGUGCGUAACGCGUAUCCAACCUUCCCGUUACUCUUGGAUAGCCUUCCGAAAGGGAGAUUAAUACAAGAAGGUAUUCACAUUACGCCUGGUAUUUGAAUUAAAGAUUUAUCGGUAACGUAGGGGGAUGCGUGACAUUAGAUAGUAGGCGGGGUAACGGCCCACCUAGUCUACGAUGCCUAGGGGUUCUGAGAGGAAGGUCCCCCACACUGGAACUGAGACACGGUCCAGACUCCUACGGGAGGCAGCAGUGAGGAAUAUUGGUCAAUGGUCGGAAGACUGAACCAGCCAAGUAGCGUGAAGGAUGAAGGUUCUAUGGAUUGUAAACUUCUUUUAUACGGGAAUAAAACCUCCCACGUGUGGGAGCUUGUAUGUACCGUAUGAAUAAGCAUCGGCUAACUCCGUGCCAGCCGCCGCCGUAACAC